UACAAUGCUUUCAAAUGUUGCUAGGAGUGG
rnacentral:piRNA from 1 species